AAGAGCCGGAUGACGGGAGACUGUCACGUCCGGUUCCGUGGGGGUCCUGCGGAAGAACUCUCGAAAAUGACGAGUAACGAUGCCUCAAU
rnacentral:ncRNA from 1 species